GGGGAAUUAAAGCUGGAAGAUCUCUAAUACAUUUUAUGGGUCAUGGAUUGAAAUAUCCCUUGAUUCAUCUUAAUCUAGAUUU